GAUGAGCGCUGGCGGCGUGCCUAAUACAUGCAAGUCGAGCGAACAGACGAGGAGCUUGCUCCUUCGACGUUAGCGGCGGACGGGUGAGUAACACGUAGGUAACCUACCUAUAAGACUGGGAUAACUUCGGGAAACCGGAGCUAAUACCGGAUAAUAUUUCGAACCGCAUGGUUCGAUAGUGAAAGAUGGCUUUGCUAUCACUUAUAGAUGGACCUGCGCCGUAUUAGCUAGUUGGUAAGGUAACGGCUUACCAAGGCAACGAUACGUAGCCGACCUGAGAGGGUGAUCGGGCACACUGGAACUGAGACACGGUCCAGACUCCUACGAGAGGCAGCAGUAGGGAAUCUUCCGCAAUGGGCUGAAGCCUGGCGGAGCAACGCCGCGUGAGUGAUGAAGGUCUUCGGAUCGUAAAACUCUGUUAUUAGGGAAGAACAAACGUGUAAGUAACUGUGCUCGUCUUGACGGUACCUAAUCAGAAAGCCACGGCUAACUACGUG
rnacentral:rRNA from 1 species